rnacentral:rRNA from 1 species
UGGGAAUUUGGACAAUGGGCGAAGCUGAUCCAGCAAUGCCGCGUGUGUGAAGAAGGCCUUCGGGUUGUAAAGCACUUUUGUCCGGAAAGAAAUCCUUGGCUCUAAUACAGUCGGGGGAUGACGGUACCGGAAGAAUAAGCACCGGCUAACUACGUGCCAGCAGCCGCGGUAAUACGUAGGGUGCAAGCGUUAAUCGGAAUUACUGGGCGUAAAGCGUGCGCAGGCGGUUUGCUAAGACCGAUGUGAAAUCCCCGGGCUCAACCUGGGAACUGCAUUGGUGACUGGCAGGCUAGAGUAUGGCAGAGGGGGGUGAGAAUUCCACGUGUAGCAGUGAAAUGCGUAGAGAUGUGGAGGAAUACCGAUGGCGAAGGCAGCCCUGGCAGUACUGACGCUCAUGCACG